UACGAAGGGGGCUAGCGUUGUUCGGAAUUACUGAGCGUAAAGCGCGCGCAGGCGGUCUUCCAAGUCAGUGGUGAAAGCCCGGAGCUCAACUCCGGAACUGCCAUUGAAACUGUUGGACUUGAGUACGAGAGAGGUGAGUGGAAUUCCCAGUGUAGAGGUGAAAUUCGUAGAUAUUGGGAGGAACACCGGUGGCGAAGGCGGCGACCUGGUCCGAUACUGACGCUGAGGCGCGAAAGCGUGGGGAGCAAACAGG
rnacentral:rRNA from 1 species